CGGAGGGUGCAAGCGUUAUCCGGAUUUACUGGGUUUAAAGGGAGCGUAGGUGGGUCGGUAAGUCAGUGGUGAAAUCUUCGAGCUUAACUCGGAAACUGCCAUUGAUACUAUCGAUCUUGAAUUAUCUGGAGGUAAGCGGAAUAUGUCAUGUAGCGGUGAAAUGCUUAGAUAUGACAUAGAACACCCAUUGCGAAGGCAGCUUACUACGGAUAUAUUGACACUGAGGCUCGAAAGCGUGGGGAUCAAACAGGAUUAGAUACCCUGGUAGUCCACGCCCUAAACGAUGGAUACUCGACAUCAGCGAUACACUGUUGGUGUCUGAGCGAAAGCAUUAAGUAUCCCACCUGGGAAGUACGACCGCAAGGUUG
rnacentral:rRNA from 1 species